UCCGGUUUGUCACCGGCAGUCUCAUUAGAGUGCCCAACUGAAUGUAGCAACUAAUGACAAGGGUUGCGCUCGUUGCGGGACUUAACCCAACAUCUCACGACACGAGCUGACGACAGCCAUGCAGCACCUGUGUGUCGGUUCCCUUUCGGGCACACCCUCAUCUCUGGAGGCUUCCUGGCAUGUCAAGGGUAGGUAAGGUUUUUCGCGUUGCAUCGAAUUAAUCCACAUAAUCCACCGCUUGUGCGGGUCCCCGUCAAUUCCUUUGAGUUUUAACCUUGCGACCGUACUCCCCAGGCGGGAUGCUUAAUGCGUUAGCUGCGCCACUGACAGGCAAGCCUGCCAACGGCUAGCAUCCACCGUUUACGGCGUGGACUAC
rnacentral:misc_RNA from 1 species